rnacentral:rRNA from 1 species
CUGAUCCAGCCAUGCCGCGUGCAGGAAGACUGCCCUAUGGGUUGUAAACUGCUUUUGUACAGGAAGAAACACUCCCUCGUGAGGGAGCUUGACGGUACUGUAAGAAUAAGGAUCGGCUAACUCCGUGCCAGCAGCCGCGGUAAUACGGAGGAUCCAAGCGUUAUCCGGAAUCAUUGGGUUUAAAGGGUCCGUAGGUGGAUGAUUAAGUCAGAGGUGAAAUCCUGCAGCUCAACUGUAGAAUUGCCUUUGAUACUGGUUGUCUUGAAUUAUUGUGAAGUAGUUGGAAUAUGUGGUGUAGCGGUGAAAUGCAUAGAUAUCACAUAGAAUACCGAUUGCGAAGGCAGAUUACUAACAAUACAUUGACACUGAUGGACGAAAGCGUGGGGAGCGAACAGGAUUAGAUACCCUGGUAGUCCACGCCGUAAACGAUGGAUACUAGCUGUUCGGAUUUAUCUGAGUGGCUAAGCGAAAGUGAUAAGUAUCCCACCUG